rnacentral:rRNA from 1 species
GAUGAACGCUGGCGGAAUGCUUAACACAUGCAAGUCGACCUGAACUUCGGUUGGGGUGGCGGACGGGUGAGUGAGGCGUACAGAACUUGCCUCACAGCAAGGGACACCAUUUGGACACGAAUGCUAACACCUGAUAUGAUGAUCAUAUGGCAUCUAUUAAUUAUGAAAGCUAUCUGCGCUGUGAGAGAGCUUUGCGUCCCAUUAGCUAGUUGGAGAGGUAACAGCUCACCAAGGCGAUGAUGGGUAGCCGGCCUGGGAGGGUGACACGCCACAGAGGGACGGGGACGCGGCCCGUACGCAUACGGGAGGAAGGGGCGGAAAAUAUAGGAAGAUGGACCGCGAGUGUGAUGCAGCAAUUCGGUGUGCACAAUUAAGUUUUUCGGAAUGAAAAGUGCUUUCAGUAGGGAAGAAAAAAAUGACGGUACCAACAGAAGAAGUGACGGCUAACUACGUG